rnacentral:rRNA from 1 species
GGGUUGUGAGGUUAAGCGACCAAGCGUACACGGUGGAUGCCCUGGCAGUCAGAGGCGAUGAAGGACGUGCUAAUCUGCGAAAAGCGCCGGUGAGGUGAUAUGAACCGCUAUCAGCCGGCGAUGUCCGAAUGGGGAAACCCAGUGUGAUUCGUCACACUAUCGUUAAGUGAAUACAUAGCUUAACGAGGCGAACCGGGGGAACUGAAACAUCUAAGUACCCCGAGGAAAAGAAAUCAACCGAGAUUCCCUGAGUAGCGGCGAGCGAACGGGGAACAGCCCAGAGCCUGAAUCAGCAUGUGUGUCAGUGGAAGCGUCUGGAAAGGCGCACGGUACAGGGUGACAGUCCCGUACACGAAGAUGCAUGUGCUGUGAGCUCGAUGAGUAGGGCGGGACACGUGGUAUCCUGUCUGAAUAUGGGGGGACCAUCCUCCAAGGCUAAAUACUCCUGACUGACCGAUAGUGAACCAGUACCGUGAGGGAAAGGCGAAAAGAACCCCGGCGAGGGGAGUGAAAAAGAACCUGAAACCGUGUACGUACAAGCAGUGGGAGCCUUCAUUUAUGAGGGUGACUGCGUACCUUUUGUAUAAUGGGUCAGCGACUUAUAUUCUGUAGCAAGGUUAACCGUAUAGGGGAGCCGCAGGGAAACCGAGUCUUAACCGGGCGCUCAGUUGCAGGGUAUAGACCCGAAACCCGGUGAUCUAGCCAUGGGCAGGUUGAAGGUUGGGUAACACUAACUGGAGGACCGAACCGACUAAUGUUGAAAAAUUAGCGGAUGACCUGUGGCUGGGGGUGAAAGGCCAAUCAAACCGGGAGAUAGCUGGUUCUCCCCGAAAGCUAUUUAGGUAGCGCCUCGUGAAUUCAUCUCCGGGGGUAGAGCACUGUUUCGGCUAGGGGGCCAUCCCGGCUUACCAACCCGAUGCAAACUGCGAAUACCGGAGAAUGUUAUCACGGGAGACACACGGCGGGUGCUAACGUCCGUCGUGAAGAGGGAAACAACCCAGACCGCCAGCUAAGGUCCCAAAGUCAUGGUUAAGUGGGAAACGAUGUGGGAAGGCCCAGACAGCCAGGAUGUUGGCUUAGAAGCAGCCAUCAUUUAAAGAAAGCGUAAUAGCUCACUGGUCGAGUCGGCCUGCGCGGAAGAUGUAACGGGGCUAAACCAUGCACCGAAGCUGCGGCAGCGACGCGAAUGCGUUGUUGGGUAGGGGAGCGUUCUGUAAGCCUGCGAAGGUGUGCUGUGAGGCAUGCUGGAGGUAUCAGAAGUGCGAAUGCUGACAUAAGUAACGAUAAAGCGGGUGAAAAGCCCGCUCGCCGGAAGACCAAGGGUUCCUGUCCAACGUUAAUCGGGGCAGGGUGAGUCGACCCCUAAGGCGAGGCCGAAAGGCGUAGUCGAUGGGAAACGGGUUAAUAUUCCCGUACUCGGUGUUACUGCGAAGGGGGGACGGAGAAGGCUAUGUUGGCCGGGCGACGGUUGUCCCGGUUUAAGCGUGUAGGCUGACUUUCCAGGCAAAUCCGGAAGGUCAAGGCUGAGGCGUGACGACGAGGCACCACGGUGCUGAAGCAACAAAUGCCCUGCUUCCAGGAAAAGCCUCUAAGCAUCAGGUAACAGUGAAUCGUACCCCAAACCGACACAGGUGGUCAGGUAGAGAAUACCAAGGCGCUUGAGAGAACUCGGGUGAAGGAACUAGGCAAAAUGGUGCCGUAACUUCGGGAGAAGGCACGCUGGCA